rnacentral:rRNA from 1 species
AAAGUGAAUAGUGAAAUCUGGAGGCUCAACCUCACAGGCUAUUAUUCAAACUGUAUAACUCGAGAAUGGUAGAGGUAACUGGAAUUUCUUGUGUAGGAGUGAAAUCCGUAGAUAUAAGAAGGAACACCAAUGGCGUAGGCAGGUUACUGGACCAUUUCUGACACUGAGGCACGAAAGCGUGGGGAGCGAACCGGAUUAGAUACCCGGGUAGUCCACGCCGUAAACGAUGGAUACUA